GAUGAAGAACGUAGCGAAAUGCGAUAAGUAGUGUGAAUUGCAGAAUUCCGUGAAUCAUCGAAUCUUUGAACGCACAUUGCGCCUUCUGGUAUUCCGGAAGGCAUGCCUGUUCGAGAGUCAUUAACAACCGUUUCGAUCCCUUUCUUUCAGAAAUUACAAAGAGGAAAAGGGUUUGGUUAUGGUGGAGGAGGGAAAGGGAGCGUUUAGCCUGUAAAAAAAGAGGCUGUGUUCCGCCUCCCCCCCAAAAUUGUACAGGCGGUCGUGUGCGCCCACGCAUCGAGGUGUUGUAAAAGCUGCCACGGCACUUUUCACCUGUGCAGUGCGAGAUUGGCCAGCCGGUUUAAAAACCCCUCCAAACAAUCAAAGGUUGACCUCGGAUCAGGUAGGGAUACCCGCUGAACUUAAGCAUAUCAUAAGCGGAGGA
rnacentral:misc_RNA from 1 species